UGUGAGGGCAAUCUGGCUGUGAUAUCUGGCACUCCAUUGAUCGCCAGGGUUGAUUCGACUGAUCUGGCUGGCUAGGUAGGUGUCCCCUUCCUCAUCAU
rnacentral:snRNA from 1 species